rnacentral:sRNA from 1 species
AUGUGCCAUGCGUGCACGCCGGCCUCUGCGCGCCGUCCACGCCCGCCCGGCGGCGGCUCGCGACGUCGUGGCACCU